UACGUAGGGUGCGAGCGUUAAUCGGAAUUACUGGGCGUAAAGCGUGCGCAGGCGGUUGGGCAAGACAGAUGUGAAAUCCCCGGGCUUAACCUGGGAAUGGCAUUUGUGACUGCACGGCUAGAGUGUGUCAGAGGGGGGUAGAAUUCCACGUGUAGCAGUGAAAUGCGUAGAUAUGUGGAGGAAUACCGAUGGCGAAGGCAGCCCCCUGGGAUAACACUGACGCUCAUGCACGAAAGCGUGGGGAGCAAACAGG
rnacentral:rRNA from 1 species